GACGAACGCUGGCGGCGUGCUUAACACAUGCAAGUCGAGCGGUAAGGCCCUUUCGGGGGUACACGAGCGGCGAACGGGUGAGUAACACGUGGGUGACCUGCCCUCAGCUCUGGGAUAAGCCUGGGAAACCGGGUCUAAUACUGGAUAUGACUCCAUGACGCAUGUUGUGGGGUGGAAAGCCUUGUGCGGCUGAGGAUGGGCCCGCGGCCUAUCAGCUUUGUUGGUGGGGUGAGGCCUACCAAGGCGACGACGGGUAGCCGGCCUGAGAGGGCGACCGGCCACACUGGGACUGAGACACGGCCCAGACUCCUACGGGAGGCAGCAGUGGGGAAUCUUGCGCAAUGGGCGAAAGCCUGACGCAGCGACGCCGCGUGAGGGAUGACGGCCU
rnacentral:rRNA from 1 species